AUAAGGAACGCAUGGAAGGUAAUGGAAGAGCGAACUCUACUCCCGAAGGGAAAAUCAAAAGCCAAGAGAAAAUCCAUUACGCUACCUGAAAAUGAAGAAACCUCCAUGGGGUUCACUAAUGCUGUAGAACCUGAAGAAGAAAUCUCUAUGGGGUUUAAGCAAAACAAUCUUAAUAUGCAACUUAACCAAGUCGAUGAAUACGACAUUACCAGCGAUCCCAU